rnacentral:lncRNA from 1 species
GAAGAAGGACACGUUUGCUUCCUCUUCCUCCAUAAUUGUAAGUUUCCUGAAGCCUCCCAGGCCAUGCACAACUCACUUCUCCUUGCUGCUGCCAUGUGAACAAGAACAUGUUUGCUGCCCCUUCAGGGAUGAUUGUAAGUUUCUUGAGGCCUCCUCAGAGCUGCAGAACUGUGAGUCAAUUAAACCUUUUUUCUUUAUAAGUUAGCCAUUUCGGGGGAUGUCUUCAUUAGCAGCAUGAGAACAGACUAAUACACUUACUAACAUUGUGACCAUUCCCUCUGUUUGCUCAUGUAGAAAAUGUAUAGAUACCUACCCCUACAUAGUUGUUGCAAACAGUUAAUAAGAUAAUGGAGGUCUUGGCAUAUACUAAAUAUUCAGCAUAAGGCUUCCAUGGAGAGGCAUUAUAGCUUAGCAAUUAAGAGCUGGAACUUUGGAUUUCAAAAGAUCUACCACCAUGCAAAAGAUUCAAUUCCUCAACUGUAAAAUCGUG